rnacentral:rRNA from 1 species
UACGUAGGGGGCGAGCGUUGUCCGGAUUUAUUGGGCGUAAAGAGCGUGUAGGCGGCCAGGUAGGUCUGCUGUGAAAACUCGAGGCUCAACCUCGAGACGUCGGCGGAAACCAUCUGGCUAGAGUCCGGAAGAGGAGAGUGGAAUUCCCGGUGUAGCGGUGAAAUGCGCAGAUAUCAGGAGGAACACCGGUGGCGAAGGCGGUUCUCUGGGCAUGUCCUGACGCUGAGGAGCGAAAGUGUGGGGAGCGAACAGG